UACAGAGACUGCGAGCGUUUAUUCGGAUUCACUGGGCGUAAAGGGUGCGCAGGCGGCCAAGUGUGUGAGGCGUGAAAGCCCGGGGCUUAACCCCGGAAUUGCACCUCAAACUACAUGGCUAGAGCAUUGGAGAGGGUAGCGGAAUUCACGGUGUAGCAGUGAAAUGCGUAGAUAUCGUGAGGAACACCAGAGGCGAAGGCGCUACCUGGACA
rnacentral:rRNA from 1 species